rnacentral:tRNA from 1 species
GCCUAGUUAGCUUGGUUGGUAGCGCGUCUGCCUUGUAAGCGCUAGAUCGCGGGUUCGAUUCCCGCCCGGGGCG